AUGAACGCUAGCGGCAGGCCUAAUACAUGCAAGUCGUACGGUAAACGGUCCUUCGGGACCGUGAGAGUGGCGGACGGGUGCGUAACGCGUAUGCAACCCACCCCCGACGGGCGGAUAGCCGGUGGAAACGCCGGAUAACCCGCCAUGCGCCCGAUGGAGGGCAUCCUCUGUCGGGCAAAGCGGCGACGCGGUCGGGGACGGGCAUGCGUCCCAUUAGAUUGUUGGCGGGGCGACUGCCCACCAAGUCUACGAUGGGUAGGGCUUCUUUAUAGGACGGUCCCCCACACUGGUACUGAGACACGGACCAGACUCCUGCGGGAGGCAGCAGUAAGGAUAUUGGUCAUGGUCGGAAGACUGACCAGCCAUGCCGCGUGAGGGAUGAGCCUACGGGUCGUGACCUCUUUAUCGGGACAUGACGCGUCGCGACGUGUUUGAGUACGAGAUAGCGUCGCUACUCGUGCAGCAGCGCGUAUACGAGACGAGCGUAUCGAUCAUGGUUAGGUGCCGGGCCUGCAGUACGGAACCGCCCACCGAUGCGUACUUUGUUUAUGCACUGCGGCAGCGGCCGUGUGUAUAUACACCUAACCGCGUCUCCAAGGAAAUAAUGCAUCAUU
rnacentral:rRNA from 1 species